GCGGAGGAAAAGAAACCAACAGGGAUUGCCCUAGUAACGGCGAGUGAAGCGGCAACAGCUCAAAUUUGAAAUCUGGCGCAAGCCCGAGUUGUAAUUUGUAGAGGAUGUUUCUGGCGACGUGCCUUCCGAGUUCCCUGGAACGGGACGCCAUAGAGGGUGAGAGCCCCGUACGGUUGGAUGCCUAGCCUCUGUGAAACUCCUUCGACGAGUCGAGUAGUUUGGGAAUGCUGCUCUAAAUGGGAGGUAUACGUCUUCUAAAGCUAAAUACCGGCCAGAGACCGAUAGCGCACAAGUAGAGUGAUCGAAAGAUGAAAAGCACUUUGAAAAGAGGGUUAAAAAGUACGUGAAAUUGUUGAAAGGGAAGCGUUCAUGACCAGACUUGGGCAGGUUGAUCAUCCGUGGUUCUCCGCGGUGCACUCUGCCUGCCCAGGCCAGCAUCAGUUCGCCCCGGGGGAUAAAGGUUUCGGGAAUGUGGCUCCUCCCGGGAGUGUUAUAGCCCGUUGCGUAAUACCCUGGGACGGACUGAGGUUCGCGCUCUGCAAGGAUGCUGGCGUAAUGGUCAUCAACGACCCGUCUUGAAACACGGACCAAGGAGUCGUCUUCGUAUGCGAGUGUUCGGGUGUCAAACCCCUACGCGUAAUUAAUGUGAACGUAGGAGAGAGCUUCGGCGCAUCUCCGACCGAUCCUGAUGUUCUCGGAUGGAUUUGAGUAAGAGCAUACGGGGCCGGACCCGAAAGAAGGUGAACUAUGCCUGUAUAGGGUGAAGCCAGAGGAAACUCUGGUGGAGGCUCGCAGCGGUUCUGACGUGCAAAUCGAUCGUCAAAUAUGGGCAUGGGGGCGAAAGACUAAUCGAACCUUCUAGUAGCUGGUUUCCGCCGAAGUUUCCCUCAGGAUAGCAGUAUUGAACUCAGUUUUAUAGAGGUAAACGCGAAUGAUUAGGGACCCGGGGGCUAUAUAUUGCCUUCAUCCAUUCUCAAACUUUAAAUAUGUAAGAAGCCCU
rnacentral:rRNA from 1 species